rnacentral:rRNA from 1 species
CUACGGGGUGCUGCAGUGAGGAAUUUUGCGCAAUGGGGGAAACCCUGACGCAGCAACGCCGCGUGAGUGAAGAAGGCCUUUUGGGUCGUAAAGCUCUGUCAACAGGGAAGAAGUUGCCACUGAUUAAUAGUUGGUGGUAUUGACGGUACCGGUGGAGGAAGCAUCGGCUAACUCCGUGCCAGCAGCCGCGGUAAUACGGGGGAUGCAAGCGUUAUUCGGAAUCAUUGGGCGUAAAGGGCGCGCAGGCGGUCCUGUCAGUCAGAUGUGAAAGCCCGGGGCUCAACCCCGGAAGUGCAUUUGAAACUGCAGGACUUGAGUACGGGAGAGGAAAGCGGAAUCCCUGGUGUAGAGGUGAAAUUCGUAGAUAUCAGGAGGAACACCGAUGGCGAAGGCAGCUUUCUGGACCGAUACUGACGCUGAGGCGCGAAGGUGUGGGUAGCGAACGGGAUUAGAUACCCUCGUAGUC